rnacentral:rRNA from 1 species
AUACGUAGGGAGCGAGCGUUGUCCGGAAUUACUGGGCGUAAAGGGCGCGUAGGCGGCGCUUCAAGUCGUCUGUCAAAUGGGAGGGCUUAACCCUUUUUCGCAGACGAAACUGGAGAGCUUGAGAAGCAGAGAGGCAAACAGAAUUCCUGGUGCAGCGGUGAAAUGCGUAGAUAUCAGGAAGAAUACCAGUGGCGAAGGCGGUUUGCUGGCUGCAUACUGACGCUGAAGCGCGAAAGCCAGGGGAGCAAACGGGAUUAGAUACCCCGGUAGUCCUGGCAGUAAACGAUGUAUGCUGGGUGUGAGACUAGCGAUAGUUUCGUGCCGAAGUUAACGCGAUAAGCAUACCGCCUGGGGAGUACGGUCGCAAGAUUGAAACUCAAAGGAAUUGACGGGG